CACAGCCCCUGCUCUGUACCGGAGCUUGCAGGGGCCAGGAGAGGAAGAAGGCUGGCCCUGAUGUGCGCUGAAGCCUCGUGAAGUGAAGUGCUCCAGAGUUGGAAAGCAAAAGGUAUAAAAGGUACAUAACAUAAAGGGUGUGUCCUUCCUCCCAGGCACCAGUCUUCCCAGAGGAUGCAUUUCUUUUGUAUUUCUCCACAGAUAGUCUCUGUAUUAAGGGAGUGUGAGCUCCAUCCUUGGUCAGGGAGC